UGGACAGAUUAUUGUAUUCGACUGUAUUCACGGUGUGAAACAGGGGAUUACACUGUUUUUAAACGGAAAGUGAAUCAAUUAACAUAAUAGACUCCU
rfam:Nicotiana attenuata strain TT chromosome 3, whole genome shotgun sequence.